AAACAAAUUCAAGGCCAUUACUACCACUGCAGACCAAAAUAACUUAGGUCUGAGAGACCCCCUUAGAAAGAUACAAUGCCUUCCUCAUCUAAAGGGAGCUAAUACCAGAGUGAUCUCGGCGCUCGCGCAGUUUUGAGAGAGGGUCCCGAAAACCGCCGGAGGCCAGGUGUCGCGGACGGGCCCCGGGCUAAACUCUCGUCUGGCGAAGUGAAGAGCGCAAAGUCUCCAGGCCCAGCGCGCCUUCGCGGGGCAGGCCGGACACCCUAGCCCCGGGCCGGGCUCGCUCUUCUCUGAAGCCCUGGAGCGGGCAAGGGGCACCAUUCUGGCCACAGGAACUCUAGUUUCAGCAGCCGCAGCCCGCCAGCGCUGGCUCGGACCGGGGCCUCCUCUGGGAGAGUAGGAGAGCGAAAAAAUCAACCACCACCUUGGAUUUCAGAUCGAGGAAAGGAAGCCAAAGCAAAGGUGUGGUUACACAGGACAUCCAUAGACAAAUCGUUGCCUCUCUAAGUGGGCCUGAGCUUUGCGGCUCCAGAAGCGCGAGGCGCGGUUGGUGCGGACGCGGGGGCGUGGGAGUCAUCGCUCUCCCCGCAGCCCUGGCCGAGCUCUCUGCUGUCCUCCCGAGUUUGGGCCAGAGACCACGGCUCACUCCCUAACGCCCUCGCAAGGACGGCUGCCCGUCGGGCCAAGGGCGCCCCGGGCUGGAGGCCGGAGCAAGACGGCCCCGCGGGACUCGGGAGCCUUGGUAAGGCGGAGGCUCAGACCCCGUUCACGAAAACGCCUGGCUCCUCCAGGAUUUGUCAGGUCUUAAGCAGCUCCGAGAAGGCUCCGCUGGCUCUUGGGGAACCCCGCUGUGCGGCUCACCCCCGUUUGUCUCUCUCAAGCUCUCGCCCUCCUCCCCUGGUCCUCCCUUCUCCAGAUCCCCUGCCCUGCCCGAGGUCCGGGCCGCGCGGGCUGAGCCCAAUACGCCCGGAGAAGAGCGCCGGAGCCCCCUGCUGGCCGGACGCGGCAGGCGCGGCGGCCCGCUCGGUCCCCUCCGCCCCGCGGGCUCUGCCCAGCCCGGACCCGCCUCCACCCUCCAGUGCCCUGGCGCUGGGGGCGUGCUAAAAGCAACAGAAAACAAAACAAAAACAAACAAAGCGCCAAACCCCACUCUCACCUCUUCUACUGGUCAAAGAAAUUUGAGGAACUUAUAAUGAAACCAAGUAAUGAAUCACUAAAUAAUGAAAUCGCCAAAUAAUGAAAUCACCAACUGGAAAUUAGAAGUAAAUGGUCAUAGCAAACCCUAACCAGGUGGUUUCCCUGCACAAGCCCUCUUCUUUUGUGUGGCACCAUGUGAGAUGUGCCUUUCACCUUCCACCAUGAUUGUCAGACCUCCCCAGCCACAUGGAACCGUCUCAUCCUAUGAGCUUGUGCUGAUUUGCUGAUUUACAUAUCUCCACUGGCGAAAAUCAUAUCUGUUCCUUAGGUCCAAUUUUCAAGUUCCAAGCAUUGGCAGUGUGACCACAAAUAUCUAUGAUCUGAUGCUUUAUUUGAUUUUUGUGUGUUUGUUUUAAUGGAAGUGUAGAAAGGGAGGGAAGAAGGGAGGGGAAUAUUUGAUUUGCUGUCUAGCCAACACAAUUCUAAAAAGCAUUAAGUGGAAACUGCUACAAGUGUUUAUUUUCUAACUCUUUCUGGUAUAAUGGGAACAGUCAAGAUCUGAACAAGAGUCGAUAUAAGGUUUGCGGUUUAUGAUAAGCAUAUCAGCCAGUGGAUAGACUAAACCCCAGUGACAGCUGUGAUGGUUCUUGGAAUCAGACAUCCUUCAAUAACAUGUUUCCCCAAAGCUUAUAGACAUUGUUGUAGAAUAGGGUCAAGGCUUAUGGCAGAUGUUGAAUGUCUCUGAGCUAUAUGAAAUUUCUCUCUGUGGAUUCGUGCCUAACAACCAUUACAUCAAACCACAGGUACAAUGAAGCCCAUUUUCCUUUUUGACGUGAUACUGUUGUUAUUUUAGAGGCAAAGCCUUAUGCUAUUGCUAGCUGAAAAAGACACUAAAAGCCAAAAGAGUGCAGGCACAGAAUUGGGAACAAUUGGGCUAUAGUGACCAUGAAAACAUAAAGCAAUGAUUUUACCCAGCACAAACCAUGUAGGUCAUUACAGUAUGGUGUCUUGGAACAAGGACACCUAAAAUAACAAUGAUCAUUGCUUAAAAAAAUUAAUUUUGUGGAAAUUCUUAUAAUGUUAACAUACUUCAUAGAUAUGAUUCUACCCAACUGUGACCUUUGUUAUGAUAGCAAAUGAUCAUUUUUUUCAUAGAAAAAGAAAACUCGACUGCUUAAUUGAUUGAUUCAUUAAAAGAAAUCUUGUAAUUGAACUAUCAUGCCAAGUUUACUAUGAGCAUCUGAUAAAAGAAAGUAAGAUGAUAAACAGCAACGGGUCAGAUGGCUUCCAAAUAUCAGUGAACGUCCAUAAUACCUAUUGAACUACUUGUAAUUCAUCAAUAAAUACUGGAUGGAUAGAAAUACCCUUGGUAAUGUGGAUAAAGUUAAAGGAAGUAAAAGUAAAAUUUCUGUACUCACUAGGCAUUCUUGGAAAAACUAAAUUUAUUUUAAGAAUAGUAACAGGAAAAUUGUAAGAAAAUACUAAGAAACAAAAAUUACAGGGCUGACUCAAAUUAUUAAUAAUGUUAAUAUAUAAAGCUGCCAUCUUAAUAGUUUAUAAAAAUGUUAUAUGUUAUCUCAUUUUAUAAGCACAAUAAUAAAAUGACUUGCCUCUCAUCAAUAUCAUACUCCUAUCAGAUCCUGGGUGAUAAUCCUAUCUUCCCGCCACCAGAGUACUCUUCUUUCCACACUUUUCUAUCAGUGAGCGACAGAAAAAAUUUAGAAAAGUUCAGUAGAAAAAUACACCUGAAAUUUGAUUACAGGAUGUAAAUGCCUUUGACCCUGAAUAUCAGAUAUGAUUUGCUCUCCAGGAUUUGUUGACCUUUGGUGGAAAAUAAUCUACCAGACCUUGUGAAGAACCAGGAGAAGGGUAACAGACAUCUAGCUGCUUGAUUCUAGUUCCAUUAAAGACUACUUCAAGGAGGAAGAAGAGUUUUCCUGAAAAUUGGCCAGAGGCCCCAGUUCACAGAAGUCCCUUUGCAGGUUGGCCUCUUUGUCUCCUACAUGGAAGGAAACUAUCAUCAUGUGUCCUCAAACCCCUGCAAUCCUGUCACUUUGCAAGAUGUAUCUAGCAGUUACCAAAAAAAAAAAAAAUGAAAUGGAUAUUCUACAAACUGCUAGAGAACAGAUGUCUUGAAUAGGCAAGACAAUACUCACAUGAUAUAUGGUUUACUUUUUCCUGAUGCGUUGUUUUGUUUUUGGUUCAGCGAAUAAAACAUACAUUCUCCUACGCGCAUUCUCAAGGACCAGAAGCAUUAUUUUAAAAAGUUCCUCCCAGGCUGGGCACAGUGGCUCACACCUGUAACCCCAGUACGUUGGGAGGCCAAGGCAGGUGGAUCACUUGAAGUCAGGAGUUCGAGACCAGCCUGACCAACAUGGUGAAACCCCGUCUCUACUAAAAAUACAAAAAUUAGCUGGGCAUGGUGGCACACACUUGUAAUCCCAGCUGCUUACGAGACUGAGGCAGGAGAAUCCCUUGAACCCAGGAGGUGGAGUUUGCGGUGAGCUGGGAUUGCGCCACUGCACUGCAGCCUGGGAGACAGAGCAAGACUCUGUCUAAAAUUAAUAAAUAAAUUAAUUAAUAAUCUAUUUUCAAGCAGAAAGGAAUAUCCAGUUUUUAAAACAUAUUCUGCAAUGUUAUUUGUCACAAAAAUAUUUAUAUAAUAGUGUACAUUUUUAUUUUUCUUUGUACUUAAUUUUUCUAAGUAUCAUUCUAAAUAUGGGAAUAAAUCAUUGCAAAGCAUUACAUUUGAAUAGUUUAGCAACAUUAGCCAGUAAUCUCAAAAUAUUGUUUAACUUCGACUUUUUUGUGACCAUUUAAAAAAGAAGUAUGCGUUUAAGUUACUACAUGAUGUACUCUAUGCCUGCUGUAAUCCUAUUAACAAAGUUUUUAAUUCUAGAAAAUAAUAGAAAGCCUAACAUUUUACUUCCUUUUAAAAAAACAUAAUAUUACAUAUAUAAAACUUUAUCAGAGUUAAUAUGAUAAGCUAAGCAGAAAAGUUUAAUAUUAUUUAUGGUUUCAUGAUGUGUAACAUGGUAAUUUGGGCCUUACCUAGUAAUAAACCUAGUUCAAAUCCAAGUUUU
rnacentral:lncRNA from 1 species